AUCUUAAUAUAGGUAUGUCCCAUGUAAUAGUUGGGACAUAUUUAUACUAAAA
rnacentral:pre_miRNA from 1 species